CAAUAGCGUAUAUUAAAGUUGUUGCAGUUAAAAAGCUCGUAGUUGGAUUUCGGAGUGGGCCAGUUGGUCCGCCGCAAGGUGUGUUACUGACUGGUUUGCUCUUCUUCGCAAAGACUGCGUGUGCUCUUUAUUGAGUGUGCGUAGGAUUUACGACGUUUACUUUGAAAAAAUUAGAGUGUUCAAAGCAGGCUAUUGCUUGAAUACAUGAGCAUGGAAUAAUGGAAUAGGAUUUUGGUCCCAUUUUGUUGGUUUCUAGGACCGAAGUAAUGAUUAAGAGGGACAAUUGGGGGCAUCCGUAUUUCGUUGUCAGAGGUGAAAUUCUUGGAUUUACGAAAGACGAACAACUGCGAAAGCACUUGCCAAGAGUGUUUNCAUUA
rnacentral:rRNA from 1 species